GUAGGUGGCAAGCGUUGUCCGGAAUUAUUGGGGCGUAAAGCGCGCGCAGGCGGUUCUUUAAGUCUGAUGUGAAAGCCCACGGGCUCAACCGUGGAGGGUCAUCGGAAACUGGAGAACUUGAGUACAGAAGAGGAAAGCGGAAUUCCACGUGUAGCGGUGAAAUGCGUAGAGAUGUGGAGGAACACCAGUGGCGAAGGCGGCUUUCUGGUCUGUAACUGACGCUGAGGCGCGAAAGCGUGGGGAGCAAACAGGAUUAGAUACCCUGGUAGUCCACGCCGUAAACGAUGAGUGCUAAGUGUUAGGGGGUUUCCGCCCCUUAGUGCUGCAGCUAACGCAUUAAGCACUCCGCCUGGGGAGUACGGCCGCAAAGGCUG
rnacentral:rRNA from 1 species